CAGUAGCCGCGGUAAUACGAAGGGUGCAAGCGUUAAUCGGAAUUACUGGGCGUAAAGCGCACGCAGGCGGUCUGUCAAGUCAGAUGUGAAAUCCCCGGGCUUAACCUGGGGACUGCAUUUGAAACUGGCAGGCUAGAGUCUUGUAGAGGGGGGUAGAAUUCCAGGUGUAGCGGUGAAAUGCGUAGAGAUCUGGAGGAAUACCGGUGGCGAAGGCGGCCCCCUGGACAAAGACUGACGCUCAGGUGCGAAAGCGUGGGGAGCAAACAGGAUUAGAUACCCGAGUAGUCCCUGUCUCUUAUAC
rnacentral:rRNA from 1 species